UUGCUGUGAUGACUAUCUUGGGACACCUUUGGAACCAACACCUAUGAAAAUAAAGUUUUUUCUGUAAA